GAGGUACUGAGAAGGGUUGGAGUUUCCAACUGUCAGAGUCUCUGGAAGCUGAGCUUGGCUCUGGAGGCUGGUGGUUGUUGGCUCUCUGGGAUUUCCCUUUCAAACCUUGGGAAUACCAGACUGGCACUUUGGAAGAGAGAAAGUUGGCUAGGAUGGAGAUUGACCCAUGAAGAAAAAAGCCCAGAAUGGAAGGAGAACACGGCAUAGAAGAAGUUUAGGAGAAGUUGGAUUUGGUUAUUUGUUUCUAUACCUAAGAGACUUUCAUUCCAUUGUUAAUGAUGAUGUCACUAUUGAAGUUUGA
rnacentral:lncRNA from 1 species